rnacentral:sRNA from 2 species
ACUCAACACGUAUUUCUUUAAAAAAGGUGAGUCGUGGUUGUAAAAGCAAGCCGGACCUAUGCGCCGGAUCCUUGAUCAGCCAGUUAACCUUAUACUUUAUAUAAGGAGUUC